CUUAGAAAGAGUCUGUCAUCCUUGGAAACAUUGCUGACCAAGAAUACGAUAUUGUGAGAAGACAUUGUACCCAAAAAAAAUUUUUCAUUCCUAUAGUUUGGAUUGGAGAUGAUUCAAACACAGCAUAUUCAUGUGUUACCUUCCCGGUUAUGCACGAGGUCAAUGAGACCGUUCCCUUGUGUUGUACCAGUGGUAGGGUUCUUCUCGGUAGCUUCUCCGCAAUAAGAAUGAUUGAAUCAUAUUGUAACAUUAGAUUUUGGCCUUUCACUAAUUACCGUAGGUAAUUUUGUUGGUUAAACUGACAAAGAAUAAGAGUUUAACCAACAAAAUUAAGUCUUGGUGCAUUGAAUGGAAGAAAAGAUGAUACAACGCCAACCUAAAGAGUGGAAAGCGUUCUUUCAAAUGAGGGUAGUAGGAAAUUCAGCGGGAAAGUUUGAAAAUGUGGUGGUAAAACAAUAAUCCUGGUUUUUCUUUGUUAUCCGAUAGGAAAUUUAUCCCCUUCUAUGUUCCACUAAUCACUUCAUGGGUUGACUAUCACUAGCGCAUGAACUCCUUUUGACCAAUAAUAAGCACAAUACUAAAGGUUGUGGUAAUUGAUAAAUAAAGACUUCCAUUGAAAUGACAGAAACGAUAUGUAUGAAUCAGAAUAUCAAGCAUGGAUAUAUCAUUGCGCUCAAACUUAGUCAAAUUCCUUUGUUUUCUUAGUUUGUUAUGACUCCCUUGACGUAAUUAUUCUUGCAUUAAUUUUGAGCUUCUGUAAACUUCAUUGUUCCAAUGGAUCAUUAUAUAUUAACAACGUUGGCAUAUACGUGACCGCAAUUUGAACUACCUAC